rnacentral:lncRNA from 1 species
GACUCACUGGCUGCUGAAUUACUUACAGAACACUCUCAGGCCUCAGAGUCCUCAUUUGUGAUGUGAGAACAACGGUGCCUAUCCCAUGAUGUGUUGUGUGACUGGUGAGUGACCAUGUGGAAAGCACCAAGAAGAAGGCUGUCAACAUGAGCAACACAUUUUGGGUGAUUAUACCAAAUCCAGACAUUCUGCAGGCAUAGGAAUAUACUGUAUACAUCGAUGGAUGAACUCCUGGACUUUUUCUCUUCAAAGUCUGAGCUAUUGAUUUUACAGUAAACUGAAAAUAAUUGGCAGAUGUAGAGAACUGGAUUCGUUUGUUUUUAUAAAGCCCCAACUCAAGUUUAAAGUAACUGCAACACAUUUAUACCGCGUAGAUUUCCCCGAUUUCCUUAUUAUUUUAAAGGCUGUUAAUAACUUGGGAUAAUAUCUCGUAUGCAUAAUGUUGGCACAUAGCCAACCACUUUUUCCUUAAUCUCUUUCUAACUCUGCAAAAAGAUCAAACAUUUACUCACUAAGUGAAACUGUUAUUUCAGUUUGCCCAUUGAUUCUUUGGGACUCGAAGCAAAUACUAUCAAGGGGAAAACUUCCACAUCCUAAUGCGCUUGAAUGAAGCCUUUUUCACAGUCAUCUGUUUCUUCUCCUCACUGCCCUUUUUCUAUUGUCAGUUGAAAUUUUGACAGUUUUUUUCUCCCCUUCUUUUCUGGUGUCUCAGUGAUUCCACCACUAUUGGGGAGACUUCAAAGUAAAAUGGAAUACAAUCCAACAUUGGGCAUUAUUGCUUUUUCUUGCUUUGUUUCUACCGUACACCUACUUUUGCAGGGGGUAAAUCACCGAAGGGGAUGAAGGAGCACUCUACCUUCUCCAACUAGUGUAAGGCUGACAGAAGGCAGUCCAAGGGGGCAGUUGUUAGCUUUCUUCUGCAUAAAAGAGCAAUCCAUUCUGUUUUAGUUAUUAUAUGGAGGCAGGAAAUCAAAUGAACAAUUCUGGUCCCUUCACAGUCUACAGUCGGUGCUGCU